rnacentral:rRNA from 1 species
UACAGAGGGUGCGAACGUUGUUCGGAAUCACUGGGCAUAAAGCGCACGUAGGCGGUGCCGCAAGUGUGGAGUGAAAUCCCACGGCUCAACCGUGGAACUGCUUGGUAUACUGCGGGUCUUGAGCCAUCUAGGGGCAACCGGAACAAACGGUGGAGCGGUGAAAUGCGUAGAUAUCGUUUGGAACGCCAAUGGUGAAAACAGGUUGCUGGGGAUGUGCUGACGCUGAGACACGAAAGCCAGGGGAGCAAACGGG